rnacentral:pre_miRNA from 1 species
UAUAUACUCCCUCCGUCCCAAACUUCUUGUCUUAGAUUUGUCCAGAUAUGAAUGUAUCUAAUACUAAAAUGUGACUUGAUACAUCCGUAUUUAGACAAAUCUAAGACAAGAAUUUUAGGACGGAGGGAGUAGUAU